GACGAACGCUGGCGGCGUGCUUAACACAUGCAAGUCGAACGGAAAGGCCCUGCUCUUGUGGGGUGCUCGAGUGGCGAACGGGUGAGUAACACGUGAGUAACCUGCCCUUGACUGUGGGAUAACUUCAGGAAACUGGGGCUAAUACCGGAUAGGAGCUCCUGCGGCAGGGUGGGGGUUGGAGAGUGUCGGUGGUGGGGGAUGGACUCGCGGCUUACCAGCUUGUUGGUGGGGGAGUGGCUUACCAAGGCUUUGACGGGUAGCCGGCCUGAGAGGGUGACCGGCCACAUUAGGACUAAGGUAAGGCGCAGCAGCCUACGGGAGGCAGCAGUGGGGAGUAUUGCACAGUGAGGGGAAGCCUGAUGCAGCAGCGCCGCGUGCGGGAUGACGGCCUUCGGGUUGUAAACCGCUUUCGCCUGUGACGAAGAGUGAGUGACGGUAAUGGGUAAAGAAGCACCGGCUAACUACGUG
rnacentral:rRNA from 1 species